AAUCCAUGUGGUGGUAACACCGCGGAAGAUUUAGUGGCGAACGGGUGAGGAACACGUGAGGAACCUGCCCCAAACUUUGGGAUAACAGUUGGAAACGACUGCUAAUACCAGAUGCCGUUACUUUGUCGCAUGGCGAGGUAACGAAAGUUUUUCGGUUUGGGAGGGCCUCGCGGCCUAUCAGCUUGUUGGUGAGGUAAUGGCUCACCAAGGCAGCGACGGGUAGCUGGUCUGAGAGGAUGAUCAGCCACACUGGGACUGAGACACGGCCCAGACUCC
rnacentral:rRNA from 2 species